rnacentral:lncRNA from 1 species
CAGCUUUUAAGAUUGAAGUUAGAAUAUGAGGGACUUUUAAAGAAAAAACUUGGAGCUAUGAUUUUAAGAAUGGUUGCAAGGAAAAGCAAAGAUUGCUAUUAUCUUAUUUGUCUCUGGAAAACCACCGCUCAUAGUUAGAAUUUGCAAUAUGUUGUUCUACAAAUAUUUGCAGAACAUUUCAACAUAUUGACAUAUAUGAACAUUUCAGCAUACUGCAGAGUUAGAAAGAUUCAACCAAAAGAGGGAAUUGUUUCUUGUUGCCUAAGUGUUCCAUAAAGAAAACAUCAAGACAAAUUUAACUAGAUUGAAUAUCGUGUGAACGUGCUAUCAUAUGCUGAGAAGUUGACAAAAUGUCUUCCGCAUUAUUUGCAAAGGAUUGAUAUAUGAAACAGGCAACUUGCUAGGAGUUCCAGUGGAUAUUAUGUUGCAUAUUCAAGCAUCAAAAGUCAUAAAUUCUUUUGCUUUUUUUUUUUUUGCAACUUUUUUUCUGCACAUCAUUUACAGAGAAUUAUGAAAUAGUUGUGAC